AGGGGCAGCAUGAGGUAGCAAUACCUUGAUUGGCGACCGGCGCACGGGUGAGUAACGCGUAUGCAACCUGCCCGAUACCGGGGUAUAGCCCAUGGAAACGUGGAUUAACACCCCAUAGUACUUUUAUCCUGCAUGGGAUGUGAGUUAAAUGUUCAAGGUAUCGGAUGGGCAUGCGUCCUAUUAGUUAGUUGGCGGGGUAACAGCCCACCAAGACGAUGAUAGGUAGGGGUUCUGAGAGGAAGGUCCCCACAUUGGAACUGAGACACGGUCCAAACUCC
rnacentral:rRNA from 1 species